rnacentral:rRNA from 1 species
AUUGAACGCUGGCGGCAGGCCUAACACAUGCAAGUCGAGCGAGCGGCGGACGGGUGAGUAAUGUAUGGGGACUGCCCGAUAGAGUGGGAUAACUACUGGAACCGGUGGCUAAUACCGCCUACUGUCGGAUAACCCAUAUGGGAUUAGCUAGUAGGUAAGGUAAUGGCUUACCUAGGCGACGAUCCCUAGCUGGUCUGAGAGGAUGAUCAGCCACACGGGGAAUGAGACACGGCCCAGACGCCUACGGAGGCAGCAGUGGGGAAUAUUGCAAAAGGGGCGCAAGCCGGAGGCAGCCAUGCAGAGUGUAGGAAGAAGGCCCUAGGGUUGUAAAGUACGUUCAGUCGGGAGGCGUUACCGACAGAAGAAGCACCGGCUAACUCCGUGCCAGCAGCCGCGGUAAUAC